UGCNGUCGAACGAACCUUCGGGUUAGUGGCGGACGGGUGAGUAACGCGUGAGAAUCUGCCCUCAGGAGGGGGAUAACGGUUGGAAACGGCCGCUAAUACCCCAUAUGCCUACUGGUGAAAUGAAUUUCGCCUGAGGAUGAGCUCGCGUCUGAUUAGCUAGUUGGUGAGGUAAUGGCUCACCAAGGCUUCGAUCAGUAGCUGGUCUGAGAGGAUGAUCAGCCACACUGGGACUGAGACACGGCCCAGACUCCUACGGGAGGCAGCAGUGGGGAAUUUUCCGCAAUGGGCGAAAGCCUGACGGAGCAACGCCGCGUGAGGGACGAAGGCCUCUGGGCUGUAAACCUCUUUUCUCAAGGAAGAAGAUAUGACGGUACUUGAGGAAUAAGCCACGGCUAAUUCCGUGCCAGCAGCCGCGGUAAUACGGGAGUGGCAAGCGUUAUCCGGANNNNUNGGGCGUAAAGCGUCCGCAGGCGGCUUUUCAAGUCUGCUGUUAAAGCGUGGAGCUUAACUCCAUCAUGGCAGUGGAAACUGAAAGGCUUGAGUAUGGUAGGGGCAGAGGGAAUUCCCGGCGUAGCGGUGAAAUGCGUAGAUAUCGGGAAGAACACCAGUGGCGAANGCGCUCUGCUGGGCCAUUACUGACGCUCAUGGACGAAAGCCAGGGGAGCGAAAGGGAUUAGAUACCCCUGUAGUCCUGGCCGUAAACGAUGAACACUANGUGUCGGGGGAAUCGACCCCUUCGGUGUCGUANCUAACGCGUUAAGUGUUCCGCCUGGGGNNUACNCACGCAAGUGUGAAACUCA
rnacentral:rRNA from 1 species